rnacentral:rRNA from 1 species
AGCGAACGCUGGCGGCGUGCCUAACACAUGCAAGUCGAACGUGAAAGGGAGCAAUCCCUAGUCAAGUGGCGUCCGGGUGAGUAACACGUAGGUAAUCUACCCCAGAAUCUGGAAUAACCGGCCGAAAGGCUGGCUAAUACUGGAUAGAGCGACGGAAUCCGUAAUUGGGUUUUUCGGGAAAGGUAGCCUGUAAAAAGGCCUUCGUUCUGGGAUGAGCCUGCGUCCCAUCAGCUAGUUGGUGAGGUAAAAGCUUACCAAGGCAAUGACGGGUAGCUGGUCUGAGAGGACGAUCAGCCACACUGGAACUGAAACACGGUCCAGACCCCUACGGGAGGCAGCAGUGGGGAAUCUUGCGCCAUGGACGAAAGUCUGACGCAGCAACGCCGCGUGAGGGAAGAAGGCCUUCGGGUUGUAAAGGUCUGUCGAGUGGGACGAAAAUGCUUGGAGUUCACAGCUCCAGGAACUGACGGUACCACUAAAGGAAGCACCGGCUAACUCCGUG